rnacentral:rRNA from 1 species
AUUUGGUGGAUAUCUUGGCUUGGGAACCGAUGAAGAGCGUGACAAGCUGCGAUAAGCUCGGGUUAGUCGCAUGAAGACGUUGACCCCGAGAUCCUCGAAUAGGACAUCCGCUUGCGGACUAAUAAUCCGCAAGAUUCCCUUAUGGGAAGGGAAACCCUGAGAAGUAAAACAUUUUAGUAUCAGGAGGAAAAGAAAACAAUAGUGAUUCCGUGAGUAACGGCGAGCGAAAGCGGAAGAGAUCAAACCGAAUCCUUAGGAAAACCUAAUGGAAAUGUGGUGUGUGGACCCCGUACGACUUCCCUAGAGAAAAUGAAUACUCCUGGAAAGUUGAGCCAUAGAGCGUGAAAGCCGCGUAAUUGUAAUCUAGAAAGUUGCUGCGGGUGUUCCCGAGUAGUGCGGGAUGGUUUUCUCGUACGAAAAUGCCAGAUACACGCUGGCAAAUCUAAAUAUAUCCCAAGACCGAUAGCGAAAUAGUAGCGUGAGCGAAAGAUGAAAAGUAACCCGG